CCUACGGGGCGCAGCAGUGAGGAAUAUUGGUCAAUGGGAGGAAUCCUGAACCAGCCAUGCCGCGUGCAGGACGACGGCUCUACGAGUUGUAAACUGCUUUUGUACCGGGGUAAAAUGCCUUACGAGCAGGGUUUUGAAAGUACGGUACGAAUAAGGAUCGGCUAACUCCGUGCCAGCAGCCGCGGUAAUACGGAGGAUCCGAGCGUUAUCCGGAUUUAUUGGGUUUAAAGGGUGCGUAGGCGGUCAGGUAAGUUAGAGGUGAAAGCUCGAUGCUCAACAUCGAAACUGCCUCUGAUACUGUCUGA
rnacentral:rRNA from 1 species